AUCUUCAAACCAAAUUUCACCCAAAUUAGAUUUUUCAGAAUAAAUUUGGAAAUCUAUGCCCAAACGCUAGCUUAUCUAAAUGAAAUAACCCUGGCAAACUUGAAAGAGUAAAUAAUUUUACUAACAGUCGUGAGUAGUUGCUAUAAAUCCUAUAUAUUAUUUUUCCACCACAGUUAAUUUUAAACCACAACAAUUCGUAAGAUCAUUUUCCUUAUAAAUCAUUUUGCCCGAAAAAAUGUUGUCUUCUAAUUUUCCUUCUAUUGAUGAAUAUACUUCCUUAGUGCUGGCUUGGGUGAAAGUUUCAGAGUCAACCUUGAGGAUACCGAAGAAUGAGGAGCCAAUGGCGACUUAGUGCCAAUCUUUUCUUUCAAAUGUCGUGCUAAUUUAAAAUUAUGGUUUAGUUUGGUUGAGAUUUCUGGAGCAUGGUGUUUCUUUGGUGUAGAGUUAGGAGCAAGGUUGGAUUUAGAAUGAAGUUAUUACCUUAGGCAUAGGAGUUGUGAAUGAAAUUGAAGGAAAUUUACUUAGGAUUCUAGGAGCUAAAUGUGAAGAAAAAUGUCUAAUUGCUGCAGGCUGAGGUGCAAAUUUUGUUGUUACCUUUGGAGUUGAGAGUGGGUUAGGUUUGAUUAAUGAAGUUUUGAAAAUUUAUCUUUGUUAUGGAGUUGUGUAGUUUUGUAAUAUAGCUUAUUAUGUUGCUCUUAAAUUCUAGUGAGGAACAUCUUCAAUUGAGUAUAAGAUAAAUUUUAAUGAUGUAUUUUGUUGCUUGCUACAGGAAAACUGAUCAAACAAUGGAUUGGCGCAAUCAUGUCUCUUUCUGUGCCCACAGGUUGUUUAUUAGCUUCCAGUUUAUACUUUUGUUUUCUGAUGAUGCUUAUUAGUUCAAGUACCAUGUUCCUACUUAAAGAAAAGAUGGUCUGCUAUAUCGCUAUCAAAAGAGAAAAAACUAUGAAACUCUUUUGGUGUUACGGAUAAUCAAAGAAUAUGGAUUAUUGAAAUGGAAUUUCAAUUAUAAGGCCUGCUUUAGUUUUUGGUUCUCACGAGUAUAUUGAUUUUGUUAUUAAAUUACAAGAGCGUAAUCUGGCUCUAAUUAUUGUGUAGACUACUUUUAACACUGCACAUAUUCAGGUAAGAUAUAGAGGCGUGUAAACCUAUUAAUAAUUUCAAAUAUUUUUUGAUGUUAAUAUUUUGUCUUUGCUAUUGCUUUUAUUGUAGAUCAUCAUGGAUUUAGCUUGGUAUACUAUAUUCUAAUUCUAAUGCUUGCUUUUUCUUGUCUUUCAGUAAAUACCAAGAUGAAGCAUGUGUUGUUAGCUGCACCUCUUGAACUCCAGAUUUUAUCAAAUCUUUUGAUUGUUUUGGUCUUUCUAGCAAACUAAAGAAUGUACUUGUACAACUUUGUUCCGCAAUUACAUCUCUACAUGUGUGAUGUACUUUAUGUUAAUAUUAAGCACAUUAUGUUAAUAUUUAGCUUCGUGGUACUGUUUUUAUUUUUUUAUUUUUUUUAUAGUCUAACUAAACAAUAAUGUUAUCUUCUGCAUAUAUAACAAUUUCG
rnacentral:lncRNA from 1 species